rnacentral:lncRNA from 1 species
UGGGGCAGCGGUCAUGGCUGCGACUUCGAUUACGCAGGCUUGGAGGGGAGACAAUGGAUGACAAUUUUUGAAGAAGCUUCCAUGUCUGAUAGGCAUUUCAAGAAGAUCAAAAGUCCUGAACAAGAAAACCCAUUUCAAUCCUAUGCUUCUAAUUUAGCUCACCACACACCUUCUCCUUCUCUCUCCUCCCCUGUCUCUUAUAAUACAGCACCUGUACCUUGUUCAACUCCAUCUACCUCAUCUUCCAGGCUAUUUCCAUUUACUUUUGAUGGG